rnacentral:rRNA from 1 species
GAUGAACGCUGGCGGCGUGCUUAACACAUGCAAGUCGAACGGAAAGGCUCCUGCUUUCAGGGGUACUCGAGUGGCGAACGGGUGAGUAACACGUGGGUGAUCUGCCCUGCACUUCGGGAUAAGCCUGGGAAACUGGGUCUAAUACCGGAUAGGACGAUGUUUUGGAUGCCAUUGUGGAAAGUUUUUUCGGUGUGGGAUGAGCUCUCGGCCUAUCAGCUUGUUGGUGGGGUAAUGGCCUACCAAGGCGUCGACGGGUAGCCGGCCUGAGAGGGUGUACGGCCACAUUGGGACUGAGAUACGGCCCAGACUCCUACGGGAGGCAGCAGUGGGGAAUAUUGCACAAUGGGCGCAAGCCUGAUGCAGCGACGCCGCGUGGGGGAUGACGGCCUUCGGGUUGUAAACUCCUUUCGCUAGGGACGAAGCGCAAGUGACGGUACCUGGAGAAGAAGCACCGGCUAACUACGUG